UUUACCGACAAUCAGUCAUAACGCGAUUAGCAGACGAUAAGGCCGGAAAUAUCGUUGGCUGUAUGCGCGUUACGUAUUUCACGAAGAUGAACGUACUUGGGCCAGAUUGAACACCGAUCGCUGAAUUUUAAUUACUGUAUGUGGAACCUGAGACGACGUUGGAUAUCAAGCUCGUUGAUUUUCCACGCCGAUUACAUCCCCCUUUCUCGAGUGCGUUGCACCUGUUGGAGGCUCAGAAGCAGGAGUUACAUAUUUGUGGUGUAAAGAAGAUACACUGCCUGUCAACAGCACGAUGAUUCGGAAAAUUGGCUUGGCAAAUGACAAGUCGGAAGGCAUAAUCGAGGUGAGUUGGUCGCCAGUGAGGGCUUUAAGUGCUGUCGCCGGUGAAAACUUAUGAACGCGAUUAUGGAAUUUUUUCCGUAAUUCGUCCUCGUCGUUUUUGGCGAAUCAAAGAGGUGGAGAUAGCCCAUCACGCUAUCUCGUGAAACACAAGUAUGGCUAGCCUCGUUCCGAACAAAAAGUGCACAGAACGAGCCCCGAUAAUAGCAUAGAUUAUCAUAGAAAUUAUAGUAAAAUGUUUGAGGGCAUUGGCUGUCCGAAGGUUGCGUGAAACCUGUCUACACAGAUGGAAAAGCAAUCUCGGAAUACUAACUUUGAGUUACACAAGAGGAUUGAGGUGAUGUCCAAAAUGAUUUUAACCGAACAUGAGAACCAUUCAAUCAGUACUUACUUUCCUUUUCGAUAAAAAUUAUAAAUCUUCGAAUUAAUUCGAGAGGAUAUUCUGUUAUUAUCAACCUAUUUACCGAGCGGCUAUUAAUAGGCUUAUAAAACCUCAAAUCAAAAAGAAU